AUGGGAAGGAGAGGUGGAGAAGAGGAUGGAUUUUGAUUCCCUCUCCGCCAAUUCUUCUUGCCUUCCUCUUCCUCUUCCUCUUCCUCCCUUUCAUCUUCACUCUGUUCUCACCUAUCAAUGUCGCCAUCUUUUUCAUCCUUUUCCAAGAACCCUAAUAGCAAUAGUGUACCAAAUAGCUAUUCGUCAUCUAAUUUGUAUAGUUUUUUUUUUUCCUCUUCAGUGUUAUUAUAAAUAGCUAUCUCGUUCCAUAUUUUCCUCACAACUCAAUUCAACUCGUAGAGCUGUCUCUGUCUGUUGCAAAAUUUAGCAGGGAUGCUUCACCACCGCCGCCUUCUUCUCUUCCUCUUCUUUCCUCUCCUUGGCGCGUCGCCAGCCCCUAAUGCUUCUCUCCUUCUCCUUCCCCACGUCCACUCCGACCCAGACUCUGUCGCCCGCGAAGUCCAGAGGCAGGUGGAGUCCUCCCGGCGGCGCGCUCUCUUGGAGGCGAGCGAAAAGGAGCAGCAAUGCCUGACGGGGAACCCCAUCGACGACUGCUGGCGGUGUUACGGCACGGACUGGCGGGAGGACCGACAGCGACUGGCGGACUGCGGCAUUGGCUUCGGUCGCGCAGCCAUGGGAGGUAAAGGUGGCCCUUUUUACGUCGUCACCGACCCGUCGGACCCCGACCCUGUGAACCCGCCGCCCGGCACCCUCCGCUACGGUGUCAUCCAGGAGGGGCCCCUUUGGAUCACCUUCGCCAGCGACAUGAACAUUCGGUUGAAUGAAGAGCUAAUUGUCAACAGCUUCAAGACCAUCGAUGGCCGCGGCGCCGUUGUGCACAUAGCCGGCGGCGGCUGCAUCACCCUACAGUACGUCUCCAACAUAAUCAUCCACAACGUGCACGUCCACCACUGCGUCCCCGCCGGCGAGGCCAACGUUAGGUCGUCGCCCACGCACUACGGCUGGCGCACGCACUCCGACGGCGACGGCAUCUCCAUAUACAGCGGGAAGCAGAUCUGGAUUGAUCACUGUGCUCUCUCCUACUGCACCGACGGCCUCAUCGACGCCAUCAUGGGUUCCACCGCGAUCACCAUCUCCAACAACUACUUCUCUCACCAUAACGAGGUGAUGCUGCUAGGCCACACUGACGACUACCUCCCCGACUCGGGGAUGCAGGUCACCAUCGCCUUCAAUCGCUUCGGCGAGCAGCUGGUGCAGCGAAUGCCCCGCUGCCGCCGCGGCUACUUCCACGUCGUCAACAACGACUACACGGCCUGGGAGAUGUACGCCAUAGGCGGAAGCGCCAACCCCACCAUCAACAGCCAGGGCAACCGCUACGUCGCCCCCGCAAACCCUAACGCCAAAGAGGUGACGAAGCGGGUGGACACAGCGGAGAGCCAGUGGAGCGGGUGGAAUUGGAGGACGGAGGGGGACGUGCUGGUGAACGGGGCAUUCUUCGUUCCCUCCGGCGAAGGCCUCGACGCGAUGUACGCCAAGGCGGAGAGCCUCGACCCGAAGUCCGCGACGCUCAUCGACCAGCUCACCAUGGGCGCCGGCGUCCUCGGCGGCGGGCCAAGGUAAUCAAUCGCCGCGCCUCUUUUUCUUCAUCCCACUUCCCGCAAAGUUUUAUCCACGAACGAUUCGGUUUAACCGGACCCGGUCCAACGAAACCGGUCGAAGGAAAAGCCCCCACCAGUUACUUGAUUAGAUUCUACGGCAUACCUUUUCCUUUUGUCUCAUGCAUCCUGGUGCGGACCUUCCUCAGUGGGCCCUUCUCGCGAAGGCAUCAGAGCAGCUGUUCGUUCAGACACAGAACAGCUUUUGCAUCCACGAGGAACCGUCUCAAAUCUCAAUUCUACGUUGGGGCCUAAAACCAGUCAGUAAUCGCUUGGAUCGAGGCUACGGAGCAUGAACAGUGAAAUGCUGUGCAUUUCUCGUGCCAAGCUCGCAGCCUUUUCCCUGACCUCGAGCACCACUCUUCUUCCCCCAUCGACAUUUCUCUGCACUAUCAGAAGAGGACUCCACCCAUGUUUAAGGUGUACCAACACGCAUGGCUUCCAUUCUUUGAGUGGUCCUGUGACCUCAAAGAUGUGCACACAACAUAAGUCAAACACCUUGGGACCCUACUCUUACCCUGUUUCUGUGUCUCGUAGCUAUCCAUAAGUUAUGGGGAUGGACAAAUAAUUGUUUCUUGGAGGCACGUCUCUAUCUAUUCUCUAUUCUCUAUUCUGAUGAAUGUGGAGUUGAUUAACAGGGACAACGGAGAUGGCACCGGGAAUUCAGUCAACUACGGUGGGUCGGCCACGUCGGCAGGCGGUGGCGAUAGCGAUGGAGCAGGGUAUGGCUACCUGGGGAUGAUGUUUGCCGGCCAUGCGCCGCCGUCGCUGAGGCCAAA